CUGUGGAGGGUCGAAGGGAGCCUGUCUGUGCCCAUUUCACAGAUGGGUGCCCUCAGGACACAGAGGCUCAAGUGACAGCUUCAACUAUGCAAGAGAGCCGCGCAGCACUUGUAACCAUUCUUCACACUUGGGUGAUCCUCCCUGCCUUCCGAGCUGUCCCGUUGCAAGGUUGGAAUGAGCCCAGGAUCUCUUGCUUGGAACAAACUUGAAGAAAAGUUGAGCUAAAGAACAUGAAGGAGAGACCAGAGGUGGCCUUCUGUGCCCCUCACCCCUGCCAAGGCCCUCCAUGUCCAUGCCAUUCAGCCCCAGGCAGAAACCAGAAAGAAGUUUCAGGCUGUCAUGGGCACUGAACUCCUGUCCCAGGGAGGAAUGCUUGUGGCCUGAGUCUGCAAUGAUGCAAGAAGGUGACAUAACUCAACUUGGCAUGAUCCACAGUCCCACCCAUGAAGAGCCAUGCGGUACCUCCUGGGGAAGUCGAGUUG